rnacentral:sRNA from 1 species
AUUUUAGAGACAUAGUAUUUAUCUUCCAAGUGUCGUUAGAUCAACUGGUAAUCUUAGGAAAAGCUUAGAGAUCGUCGGUUCGAGUGUCGCUUAGGAAAAAAUUAGUAAAUGUUGUAGUGUACUAAUCUGGGAAGAUUACGGGUUUUGGUACAGAAUCUCCUAAU